UACGAAGGGUGCAAGCGUUACUCGGAAUUACUGGGCGUAAAGCGUGCGUAGGUGGUGAGUUAAGUCUGUCGUGAAAGCCCCGGGCUCAACCUGGGAAUGGCGAUGGAUACUGGCUCGCUAGAGUGCGGUAGAGGAGAGUGGAAUUCCCGGUGUAGCAGUGAAAUGCGUAGAGAUCGGGAGGAACAUCAGUUGCGAAGGCGGCUCUCUGGACCAGCACUGACACUGAGGCACGAAAGCGUGGGGAGCAAAUGGG
rnacentral:rRNA from 1 species